rnacentral:lncRNA from 1 species
UUAGGAUAGCAUUCAGUUACUAUUAUACUAGAUUCUAUCUGAAAGAUUAUAAUUUAGUAUGUACCAGACACUGUGUGUGUGUAUUUUUUAUAUAUUGUGGACAGAACAUGGCCACAAAUUUAUCAACCUUCCUCCCACUGAGAGGUGAGUCUGUGACUCCUGCCCUUGAAUCUGGGUGAGCUCAGAAACUGCUUUGAGCAGGAUAUGGAAAAAGUGGUACUGUGACUAUUAUCAGGUCCAGGCCUUAAUGGACUGGCAGCUUCCGCUUCCUGUCUUUUGGAACACACACUCAGGGAGAAACCAGCUGCCAACCAACCUGCAACCCUUCAACAUGCUGUGAAGGCCAAGGUAGCCACAAGGGAAUAAAGAGACCUGACUGCCUCCCACCCAGCUAUUCUGGCAAUCCCAGACUAGGCAACAGAUAUGUGAGAGAAGAAACCAUGAGAUGAUCCAGCCUCAACCACUGUCUGUUGAUACCAAUUGGCACAGAGAUUAUAGGAGGAGAUACCAGUCUGUUUUUAAACAAAGAUGAGUCAGGUUUUUUUUGAGGAAGAUUAGCCCUGAGCUAACAUCUGCUGCCAAUAAUCCUCUUUGUGCCGAGGAAGACUCGCCCUGAGCUAACAUCCAUCCCCAUCUUCCUCUACUUUAUAUGUGGGACGCCUACCACAGCAUGGCUUGCCAAGUGGUGCCAUGUCUGCACCUGGGAUCCAAAUUGGAACAUGCACACUUAACUGCUGCGCCACCGGGCCGGCCCCAGAUGAGUCAGUUUUGAUCAUGUUGUGUUUGAGGCGCUACGGGACAACCUGAUAGAGAUAUUUAGAGGGUACAAAUGUUUGAAGUUUAGGAUGAAAGAACUGGACUGCAGGUAGAGACCUGAAAAUCCUGAGGGUGCAUAUUCUUGGUUUUCUUUUUUCUUUUCUUCUUCUUCUCCCCGAAGACCCCCAGUACAUAGUUGUAUAUGCUAGUUGUAGGUCCUUCUGGUUGUGCUAUGUGGGACGCCACCUCAGCAUGGCUUGAUGAGUGGUGCCAUGUCCGCACCUGGGAUAUGAACUGGUGAAACCCUGGGCCGCUGAAGCAGAGUGCAUGAACUUAACCACUCGGCCAUGGGGCUGGCCCCCAUCACUGAGGGUCACAUCCCUAGUGGAGUGUAGGAGAAUUGCACCUAUGGGGAAGAGGGACAAUGUGUGCCACACAGCUCGAAUGAACCCCUCUCCCAGGCAAUUCUAACAUGGGCCCCAAGGAACAGUUCCACCUCUGUCUCCCCCUUGCCAAAAACUAAAGUAAAAUAAAAAAUUCAAAAGCAUUGUGUUGGAAUAUAG